GAUUCUCCUGCCUCAGCCUCCCGAGUAGCUGGGAUUACAGGUGAUCACCCACCUUGGGCUCCCAAAGUGCUGGGAUUACAGGCAUGAGCCACUGCACCUGGCCGAAAGUCAUCUUUCUAACUGGAAACAGUGGGCACCUUUGGAAGACGGAACUGGGUAGUGGAAACAAGCAGGAAGAAGACCUUUUCAGCUUUUGAAGGCUGUACAAUAUGCAUGUAUCAUCUAAUUUUAAAAUAAAAUGUAAUUUUAAAAAUUGA